GAUGAACGCUGGCGGUAUGCUUUACACAUGCAAGUCGUACGAGAGUUUUGAACUCAAGUGGCGGACGGGUGAGUAACACGUAAGAAUUUGCCUUUAGGAGGGGGACAACAACUGGAAACGGUUGCUAAUACCCCAUAUGCUUUCGAGUGAAACGGUUUUUCCGCCUAAAGAGAAGCUUGCGGCUGAUUAGCUUGUUGGUAAGGUAAUGGCUUACCAAGGCGACGAUCAGUAUCUGGUUUGAGAGGACGAUCAGACACACUGGAACUGAGACACGGUCCAGACUCCUACGGGAGGCAGCAGUGGGGAAUUUUCCGCAAUGGGCGAAAGCCUGACGGAGCAAUACCGCGUGAGGGAUGAAUGCCUAUGGGUUGUAAACCUCUUUUUUCAGGGAGGAAUCAAUGACGUUACCUGAAGAAUAAGCAUCGGCUAACUCCGUGCCAGCAGCCGCGGUAAGACGGAGGAUGCAAGUGUUAUCCGGAAUCACUGGCGUAAAGCGUCUGUAGGUGGUUUGAUAAGUCAACUGUUAAAUCUUGAGGCUCAACCUCAAAACCGCAGUCGAAACUAU
rnacentral:rRNA from 1 species